UUGCACACUCAAGUCCUGCAUGUCUUGAGUGAUCAACACGGAGGGGUAGAGGAAUUCUCUCAAAAACCUGAAGUAUUGGCUUAAUAUUCCUUGCUUCGGAUCCUGUCGGGAGAAACAAUU